rnacentral:rRNA from 1 species
GACGAACGCUGGCGGCGUGCCUAAUACAUGCAAGUCGAGCGCAGGAAAUCGACGGAACCCUUCGGGGGGAAGUCGACGGAAUGAGCGGCGGACGGGUGAGUAACACGUAAAGAACCUGCCCUCAGGUCUGGGAUAACCACGAGAAAUCGGGGCUAAUACCGGAUGUGUCAUCGGACCGCAUGGUCCGAGGAUGAAAGGCGCUUCGGCGUCGCCUGGGGAUGGCUUUGCGGUGCAUUGGCUAGUUGGUGGGGUAAUGGCCCACCAAGGCGACGAUGCAUAGCCGACCUGAGAGGGUGAUCGGCCACACUGGGACUGAGACACGGCCCAGACGCCUACGGGAGGCAGCAGUAGGGAAUCUUCCACAAUGGACGAAAGUCUGAUGGAGCAACGCCGCGUGAACGAUGAAGGCCUUCGGGUCGUAAAGUUCUGGUGUAAGGGAAGAACAAGUGCCGCAGGCAAUGGCGGCACCUUGACGGUACCUUGCGAGAAAGCCACGGCUAACUACGUGCCAGCAGCCGCGGUAA